UACAGAGGGGGCAAGCGUUGUUCGGAAUUACUGGGCGUAAAGGGCGCGUAGGCGGCCCGCUAAGUCGAACGUGAAAUCCCUGGGCUCAACCCAGGAACUGCGUCCGAUACUGGCAGGCUUGAAUCCGGGAGAGGGAUGCGGAAUUCCAGGUGUAGCGGUGAAAUGCGUAGAUAUCUGGAGGAAUACCGGUGGCGAAGGCGGCAUCCUGGACCGGCAUUGACGCUGAGGAGCGAAAGCCAGGGGAGCAAACGGG
rnacentral:rRNA from 1 species